rnacentral:rRNA from 1 species
GUAAGUGGAUUGGACUAAUAAAAACAAAAAACAUGGCGGUUUUCUAUCAUAUUAGAGGGACAUGUGUUGAAAACGAAUUUGCACGAAUAACUGUUCUCUUUCUUGAAAUCAUUUUACAUACCGCUGUCUGAAAGAUUCUUUUCAAGAAGAUAUCUUUUUUCUUGAAAUAAGGCAAGUAAAGGUGUAGACCAUGGGGGAGAAAAUAUGUGUCUCAUUUUUAUUAAAGAAGAGGUGAAAUUCUUCAAAAAGAAUUUAACAGUAAAGCUAGUUAAUUAAACUAGCUUGAAUUGGAAAUAGAAAGUGUAC